rnacentral:rRNA from 1 species
AGUGAACGCUGGCGGUAGGCCUAACACAUGCAAGUCGAACGGCAGCACAGUAAGAGCUUGCUCUUACGGGUGGCGAGUGGCGGACGGGUGAGGAAUACAUCGGAAUCUACUUUUUCGUGGGGGAUAACGUAGGGAAACUUACGCUAAUACCGCAUACGACCUACGGGUGAAAGCAGGAGAUCUUCGGACCUUGCGCGAUUGAAUGAGCCGAUGUCGGAUUAGCUAGUUGGCGGGGUAAAGGCCCACCAAGGCGACGAUCCGUAGCUGGUCUGAGAGGAUGAUCAGCCACACUGGAACUGAGACACGGUCCAGACUCCCACGGGAGGCAGCAGUGGGGAAUAUUGGACAAUGGGCGCAAGCCUGAUCCAGCCAUACCGCGUGGGUGAAGAAGGCCUUCGGGUUGUAAAGCCCUUUUGUUGGGAAAGAAAAGCAGCAGGUUAAUACCCCGCUGUUCUGACGGUACCCAAAGAAUAAGCACCGGCUAACUUCGUG